AAUUCUAUUCUGAGGAGGAAGAGUAGGCUUUGGCAGUGUUAAGUAGGGUUGUGAUGUGGUCAGAUUAUCAGUUUUAAAAGAUGGCUCUGAGGACUGGGCAAGGGGAGGAAGAAGGGUUCAUGACCUUCUCUCCCUAGUUUAGUUUUGAAAAAUAUUUUUGAGCCCCGUUUUAUGUAUAAAAGCCUGCCCAAAGUGUUGAGAGGCUUAGAGAGACAAAAAUAUAUGAUUUGAAAUGUAGUGAGGAUGGGGAAGAGAAACAAUGGAACUGCAAACUAACACUAUGCAAAAUUAAACUGAGGCCGCAAGGAAGGAUCAGUAGCUGUGGGGACUCUGAAGUAAUUCUGAGGGUAGGGGUGGAGUAAAAAGAUGGGGGAGGUUUCACAGGGAAGGAAGCAUUUGAAACAGCUCAGAAGAAGAAAUAGAGUUUUGUCUCUUGGAUGGUAUUGGGGAGAGAGGGUGGGAAAGUUGGGGUAUUGGUGAGAGCACUUAGAACAGUAGCUGACAUGGCAGACCCUCAGGAAAGGUUAACAGUCCUGGGCCAGGCACUGAGGAAUCAACAGGCUAGGGCUCCUGUCCCAUGUGAGGAGAUGGGCGUAGAACAGACAAGAAGCAAACAAGAGAGGAAUAGAAAGUGACAAGUGCUAUACAUUAAAAUGGAAUAAUGUUCUGCAUCCUCCAGUCCAAUUGAAUUUAUUUUCAGUCUCAGAUCUUAUCACACUGUCAAUUCUGUGCUUCUUCCCCCACCCUCCUCCCAGGCUCUAAUUAAAGGCUAAUUCAUUUUCUACUCUUAUUGAAGAUGUUACUUCCUUCUAGAAGCCUACAGACCUCCCUCCGCCACCAAACCUAAGUUAGAGACUCUGCUUCUGAUCCAUAGGAACCUAUACUUUUCCCACUCAAGAGCUCAUCACACUAGAUCUUAAUUAUCUGUUUACAAUCCUGGAUUAGAACGUGAAAUCACCAGCAGAGAUAAAGGGAGGCGUGGGAUUGGCUCUGCCUACUCACGGUCUGGCAAAACUGCAGGCUGACUGUCUCUGUAAGUCAUGCUGAAACCAGACCACUGUUGACCUCCUGAUGUGUUGGUUCUCUAGUCCCACACCUGUCAUCUGUUAAGGGUCCUCCCUGCAGCUGUGUUCCAGAGAUCACAGUGGUGCCAGAUGCAGUCCACGGAGGUAUUUUGCUUGGCUCGAGCAGGGAGAUUUUUUUUUCUUUUAAUUUGAGCUAACAUUUUUAAGUUGGGAGAUUUUACUUUGUUACACUCAGGAUUUCCAGCUUUUCUUGAAAAAUGGAAGUCUGGCAAAAAUCCCAGGGAGGUAAGCCACAGCGACCUCUGGAGUAAGGGGCUAUGCACUCCAGUUCGCUAUACCUUCAGCACACAUGCAGUGGACGUAUGCUCCACACCCAGACUGCUCCAAGGCAUUUGAGUUUUCUGCUUCGCAAGGACUAGUCUUACCCGGGGCGAUGAUCCAAACAUUUAACAAUCAGUCUCCCAAGCACCAAGGAGAACUGACACCCCUUUGGCACAGAAGGCUCAGAGCCUAGGCCCACAGAUACUUUUAAGGGCCUCCCAAAAUGUUCUAAUUUCUAUUAAAAUAAGCAAGUUAAAAAAAAAAAAGCAUUUAACAACACUAUACACAGUGAAAGAUAGAAAACUUAAAAACGAUUGUUCCCAAAGCUAAAAUCUCCUGUAUUCUGCCACUGGACUGCUCCUACUUGGCGGCACUUUCAUACCAGAGAAUUUUUAAGCAGCUUCUCCUUGCUCUGUAGGCUUCAGGAUAUAGGUUGGUGAAAGCACAUCCAUUUGUUCGUUUGGCAGUUAUUUAAUUUCUAGCAUGUGCCAAGCUCUAAAGAAGAUAAAAAGGGAGGGAGGGACAGCUAAAAAUCAGACUUAGCUCUAUAGUUAAGAGAUCCUCACUGUUUCUGGGAAUAGUCAGGGAGCAGCCUUCAAGGAGGGUGUGGUCUGUGGAUGGAAGAGUCUUUCUGAGGAGCUUGACUGCCUGCCCUAUCUCACCCCACCAAGUCAGCCUGACAAGAUUUCAGUGGCAAUAGCAGCUUCUACCUUUUCUCCCCUCCCCCACCAAAAAAGAAAAAGAAAAUGCCCAACUUACUCAUAUCUAGAAUUCCUUUCGACAAUAGUAAUUAGCAGUGGCUUUUUUUUUUUUAAACUACAAAUGCCUGGGGAACCAGAGAUAAGUAAAAAUGUUGUCAAAAAGCAUAUAGCCCAAGGAAGGGCUGAGGACAUGUUGAAAAUAAUAAAAAUUGCUGUUUUAGCUAUGAUCCUGCUAGGAAGAUUACCAUUAUCGUGUAGCAGUUGUAUCAGUAAGAUAAUAAAAUCUAUGGUUCAGAUGGAGUAUUGUGGAAAUGGGUGUUCCUAAGUGAGUGAGUGUGUGGUGUAUGUGUGACAAAGGAGGACUGAAGAUGCCCAUGGCAAGUCAUGACAACUAGCAGAGAGCAACAUCUCCUGGGGAGUUCUCACCAUGGCCCAGCAGUCCCAAGAUGGGCUUGACUUGGACAGCCGAAAGAGCACACCUUGCUUAACCUGUGACCUGCCUUAUGCCAGUCGAGAGCCUACAUCUCUCCAUGGAGACUAGAACUCCCGAGGCAAGACCGGGUAAUGUGAAAGGCUAGGUGGAGAAUGAAGUUAUGAAGAGAAAAUAAACAAGACUUUUUCUCUUACCAGUUUCAUUUGGUUGCCAGUAACACAAGUCCAACGGUUAUUUUGACAUUCCUCUCACGUUCGUGCUAGAAUGCACCUGCUCCCUGAAGUCCUCCCUCAUCAAUGCCUUCCACUAUGAUCGGCCCUCGACUGGGGCACAGUUCUGCGUGGGAACCCCUUCUUAAUAAAUCCCGAACCCCUUCUUAAUGAAUUCCGCAGAUCGUUAGAGUCUUUCUGAAUCGCCUCGUCUUGAGCAGCCGGUCCUGAGUUGUCCGCGGACUUUGGGCUCCAAACAAGAUUCCUAGUUAAAGACACAAGAACACCAGGAUGGCGGAGCUGCGGCCCCCAAGGGCGGAUGAGAGCGACCAGAGGCAAGUUAUGGGAUGGUUCUUUUGGUCAGGACAAGGACGAGGGAGAAGGGAGGUUAGUG